UGGCUAUUUUUCCUUGAGAAAUUUCUGGGUUAUGAUGGGUUGACACUGUACCGGCCUUUGUGAGAUCAUGGGGUUACACGACAAAACUGGGAAGUUGUGAAAUGCAUGGGAGCUGUUGAUGAGAGGUCAGUUGUCUGGAGCUGGGCACGUUGUGGUGAUGCUGCUGAAGCCAAGGGAAAUCCUCCUGCCAGGACUGGUGAAGGUGGGGGAAAGCAAGGACAAAGGACUCUGCCUGCCCUGCCAGGGUGGGGAGCUCAUCUGACAAGCCUUUAUUCCCCCUGCCCCCCUCCCUGUUUUGUCUGGAUUAUGUGAAGUGAUUAUAUAGUGAAAUAGAAGAGCAGGUGUCUGGGGGUGCCACUGGUCCCCAUGUGGGUACAGGGGCAGCUGCUGCCUCACUUGGACACUUGGCAUAUUGGCAGUGACCCCUCAGCCUCUCCUCUGGCAGCAAUCUCACACCUCCUGUGCCAAGGCCGUGCUUGCUGUUUGCUAAUUUUCUAUUUCAGGCAGCUAUGGACAAGUACAGUCAUGUAGGAUGUGAACAGACAUUUGGUCAGUACACUCUGAGGUAAUAAUUUGGGUCAGCUCUCAUCACUAUGUUGACUUCACUAUAUCUGUACUGAUUAUUUGAUGCACUGUUACCUUUAGAAGGGGAAUAUAAUCCAUUUAUCUUCUCCAGGCUCAGCAGCAUGUUAUACUUCUACAUGUUUUCAAACAGGGAAGUGUGGGAAGCAUACAACAUGCUUUGGAACAAAAGAUUUGGUCAAACCAAGGCCAAAUAUUUUUGAUUUUUUUACAUCCUAGGCUGGAGCACUCUAGUUGAAUAAAAGGAUUGCUUUGUUUGGUUAUAGCUGAGUUUUUCCUGUAUAAUGAUAUUUUAGCUUCCUGAAAGUGGGUUCUACAACCGUGGCUAUGGAAUGGUUUGGGUUGGAAGGGAUCUUCAAGCAUGAUCUAAUUCCAAGCCUCUGGCCAUGGGCAGGGACAUCUGCCAGCCGCUCAGUCAGGUUGCUCAAAGCCCCAUCCAGCCUGGCCUUGAACACUCCUGGGGAUGGGAGACAGCCACAGCUUCUCUGUGCCACCUGCUCCAGUGUCUCACCACCCUCACAGUAAAAAACGUCCUCCUUCUGUCCAAUCUAAGCCAACCCCUUUCAGUUUAAAAUUGCUGCCCCUCGUCCUGUCAGUACAAGUUAAGUCUCCUAUAUGUACUUUGGGGCUGCUGUAAGAUCUCCCCAGAAUCCCCUUUUUCAGCUGAACAACUCCAACUGUGAGCCUGUUUUCACAGGAGAGGAGGUACACUCGCUGCUGAGAGGCAGUGUGACAAGCCAGUCUCCUUCCAUGCAGGCUCUGGAUGGGCUCACCAGGUGAGAUCCUGCCUGCUGUGAGUGUUCAGUGUCUGUGCCGAGCUCUCUCCACUCCUUAGGGACGUGGCUGCGCAGGCUUUGGGAAGCACAGCUCUGGGUGCACAGACUCAGGCACAUGAGGGCACAAAGGGCAGGAGCUCAACCUGCUUAGCACCUGUGCUUGGUUUUCCCCUGCACUGUGCUGAUGUGUUCCACUCAAUGCUGUGUUGGGACCACUCCGAACAAACUUGUUAACAUCAGCUUACUGAGUCAGAGACAAUGAAGAUGUAAAGCAACUGCUGGUGGAAGAACUAUGUGCUAAAGUUUUAUGUGCAAAAGCAAUGAGCUUUGUAGGAAGAUUAGGCAAUAUAUUAGCCAUGAAAAUCCCAACAGUUUGCUGUUGUUGUUGACAUAAUCAGAUUUUACAGAUUUGUUUAACCUUCACUUGCAUUCUCUUAAAACACUGAAUGUGCUGCAUUGCCAGAGCUGCAGGCUGUACAACCCACAAGUGAUAGCUGCAUGAUCAUCCUACAAGCACUGCUGUCUAGCAAUAUGUGGAAGAGGCAAGUUGUCUAUUCUUGGGUAUUUGUUACUGCCAUGUUUAAGAGAAUUGGCAAAUAUAGAAUAGAUUUCCUUCAUGUUGACUGCAAUGCUUUCAGUACUAAGAGUUCUGUUUAGUUGAAAUAAAUAAUACUGUGAUAAGUUUGUUCAGGGGCUGCAUUUCUGAGCUGAUACAGGGUCAGAGAGCUCAUUUAAAGCUCAGGUAAUUUCUCUCUUUAUGGCUAUAUCUAAUUCUACGAACAGCUCAUCUAGGUCAGACAGUGUGCUAGGUAAGUACCUGAAGGCAGCCUACUAGAAAGAUGCAAUUUUUACAAGGGCAUGUGCCAGGACAAUGGGUAAAGGUUUCAAAGUGAGAGUAGGUUUAUAUUAGAUAUUAAGAAAAAAUUCUUUACUGUGAAGGUGGUGAUGCACUGGAACAUGUCACCCAGAAAAGUUGUAUGUGCCCCAUCCCUGGAAUUGUUUAAGGCCAGGUUUGAUGUCACUCUGAGCACCUGGUCUACUGAAAGGUGUCUCUGUCCCAUUUGUCCAUUGGAAUAAAAUGAUUUUUAUGGUCUCUUCCAAUUCAACCCAUUCUAUGAUUCUAGACCUUUAACUUAAUUCAUAUAUUUUUUGUGGAGGUAGCACUUGUCAAGUCUGGUAAAUGUUGGUUUCCUUAGCAUUGUAGAGCAUGAAUAAUUGUUGUUUUAAUCUGCAAUGCCAGAGUUUGCUUUAAUCAUUCUAAUAACAGAUUAAAUACUAUUUUACUUGUUCAGCUUAAAUAAGUGAUUUUAGAGACAGCUUGCCUCUUAGAUCUUUUGAA